rnacentral:rRNA from 1 species
GACGAACGCUGGCGGCGUGCUUAACACAUGCAAGUCGAGCGGUAAGGCCCUUUCGGGGUACACGAGCGGCGAACGGGUGAGUAACACGUGGGUGACCUGCCCUCAGCUCUGGGAUAAGCCUGGGAAACUGGGUCUAAUACUGGAUAUGACUCCACGGUGCAUGUCGUGGGGUGGAAAGCCUUGUGCGGCUGAGGAUGGGCCCGCGGCCUAUCAGCUUGUUGGUGGGGUGANGGCCUACCAAGGCGACGACGGGUAGCCGGCCUGAGAGGGCGACCGGCCACACUGGGACUGAGACACGGCCCAGACUCCUACGGGAGGCAGCAGUGGGGAAUCUUGCGCAAUGGGCGAAGCCUGACGCAGCGACGCCGCGCGAGGGAUGACGGCCUCGG